CUCUCUUUUCAUUUUUUCUGUUUUCGAUGGCAAGAGUUGCAAAUGCAUAAGAUACUUAAAAUGGUAAUGUAUAUCUUCGUUUUCACUCUCUUCCCAUCUGAGCCCAUGCAUGUAGAGCCACCUGCCAAGGUGUAAUAUACAAACAAGAAAUGCAUCUAGGUCUUUGGGUUCUUUUAAAAGCUUUGAAAAAAUGGGUUGGGAUAUUUACCUUCUUUUACAGUGUAUGGAGAUUUGCCUUCUCAAAGUCAGUUUGCAGACUGGGAGUUUGCAGUUUCUCAACAUUCUGCUGUUCCUCAUGGCAUUUUGGGUAUUAUUCAGGCGAUGCCCCAUGAUGCAUACCCAAUGGGUGUGCUUGUCAGUGCGAUGAGUCCUCUUUCUGCGUUCCAUCCAGAUGCCAAUCCUGCCCUAAGGAGGAAAGGUGCAGAAUCCAGAGUUGGAUGUUUUCAACUAAACCUUUUUUUUCUUUUUCUGGGUAUGCGUGUUGACAUGUAUUCUGCAUUUUGUAGAUUGUUAUAUAUUAUUUUGUGCCUCUAGCACCUUAUAAAU